AAUGUCGAAAUUUUCAAAAAAUAUAUUUUUUGCACAGAGAGCGAGAGAAAGGAUUAUCCGAUUUUGCUUCAACUUUGCAAAUCUUAAUAUUUGCAUUAGUGCUAGGUCUGGUGCGAAAAUGGACAAUAUCGGUCCACUCCUUCUGGUACCUCCCCCACAAAGGGUCAAAAUUGUAAAUAAUUACAACUCUCAUAAAAUGUGAUGUAAGAGUCCGAUUGUCUUCAAAUUUCACAUAUCGCAAUAUUUAUAUUUACCCAAGGUCUGGUGUUAAGAUGGAAUAUAUCGGUUCACUCCUUCUGGUACCCCCCCACAAAUGGACGAAAUUUUCAAAAAUAUAUAUUUUUUGCACAGAGAGAGAGAAAGUAUAAUCCGAUUUCGCUUCAACUUUGAAAAUCCUAAGAUUGACGUCAGUGCUAGGUCAGGUGUGAAAAUGGACAAUAUCGGUCCACUCCAUCAAGUACCUCUCCCACAAAGGGUCAAAAUUUUGAAUAAUUACAACUCUCAUAAAAUGUGAUGUAACAUUCCGAUUGUCUUCAAAUUUCACACAUCCCAAUAUUUAUAUUUACCCAAGGUCUGGUGUUAAGAUGGACAAUAUCGGUUCAAUCCUACUGGUACCUCCCCCACAAACGGUCGAAAUUUUCAAAAAUACAUAUUUUUUUUGCACAGAAAGAAAAACGACGAAAAACAAGAUGCUCAAAAAGAAAUCGAAAUAAGAAUCCGACUCUCUUCAAAUUUCACACAUACAAGCAUUUUUGCUAACACAAGAUGAGGCUUGUCCGCAGGCAACAUUCUUUGCGUCAAUUGAAUUUUGUACGGGAACAAAUGCAAAUCAAUCCGUAGUAAAGUGGACCGAGCCAUGCCCAACUGCUGAGAACGGCGUUUUUGGGAUGUUCUUGGGGACCUCUCAACACUGGCUCGUACGACAGCGAUAUUCUCGGCCGAUCGCCUUGGUCGACUUUUAUAUGGCCUCUUCGGAUUAGAAAGAGCCUUACCAGUCGAUUUUUCGUAUAAACGCUUAAUGGUGUUCUUAGAAGGCGCACUUCUCACAUUUUUUAAUGUUUUAAAAGCACGUUGAGUUUUCACAAUUGACUUCUUCUGUUGAAUGUAAAUUUCAACUAUUUCAGAGCGCUCGCGUGGCGUGUAUUGUUUCAUGGUAAAAAUCUGCUUGGACUGACGCUUCAAACGCGGUAUGUCAUUAAGCGAUGUGACAUCUCUGUCAAAAGUUAUGGCGUUGCCAGAUGGGUCCGUCGAAUAUGUUCAACCCUGUAUAUAUCUGCGAAACCCUUCUGGUACCUCACCCACAAAGGGACACAAUUUUCAAUACUUUUAUCGUAAAUUGCGAAACAACUCAGCGAUUCUUUAUAACUUGCGCUAUCUAACAGCCUGUUCCACGAUCUCGAAAGAAAAUUUGUGCGAACGAAGGCUACUCACUCACUUUCGUAUAAGAAUGCGUUCCACUAACUUUCGUUCUUUCUUUCGCAUAGCCUUACGUGAUUCAGUGUUGCUAAAUAUUUUUUUGGAAAAAUUAAUCGCGAAAUAAAGCAAAAAAACGUCAAAUGUCUAAUUUAAACGCGAAAAAGCAGCAGUGGCUCUGUCUCAACUGACAUUUCAGUUGUAAACAAACAAAUUGUAAAUAAACAAACAAAAUAAAAUUUCUACUGAUUGUGUUCAAACUAUUUGUGCUCUUAGAAAAUAAAAAAAAAAAGAAUAUUUCCGUAGCCCUAUUUUUUAUGGAGGAGGUUCGAAAUGUGCCACGGAGGCAUUUAAGAGAUGCUUCGAAUUUAUUUGAAGUACCUAACAACCAGUUUGUGGCCAACUUUCGUGUGCCGAAGGAAGUUUUCGGGCUCUUUUGGAUAUGAUGGAAGAGAAGUGGGUGCCCGGUUGCAGAACUACCCAAAUCCGCCCUGAUUUAAAACUUCUUCUGCUGCUUCCAAAAAUUGGAACACAGGAUUCUCCUCCAUUUACUCAACUAGUGCCCGCAGCUGUGUAGUUGAUGAUUUUUUCGUGCUGGAAUUGAGAAAAUAAAAAAAAUAUAUAUUUGUUGUUCACAUAUUAAA